AAGUUACAUCUUUACCUCUAUCCCUAACAUGGGAUGCCGAGGUGCAGAGGCACCGGCACCGCCCUGCCAUCACUCUCGUGGAUAUGGACCCGAUUAGGCGUCCUUCUUCCUUCUGCCCACACCAAGGCCCCCCAGGCCGCCGCCGCUCACCGGGAACCUUCCCAGGGGAGUGGCGGAGGGGCGAGGCCAUGGUGCAGGGACCUGCAAGAGGGGCCUGACCCUGAUCGAGAGGGGCCGAUGGGCAGCCAGGUGGGCCUGUGGGUUUACCUUGUUGAGCGUGGUGGGAUCCAAGACCAGGAGUUCCAUUAUUCUGCCUUUGGUUGAAAGCAGCACCCCAAACUCCUUAUCAGAGAAAGAUGGCCAUGUGAAGACGGAGAGACACACAAGGAGAACACCGUGUUAAGAUGAAGGCAGAUACUGAAUUGCUGCAAGUUGAGGAACACCAAAGACUGAUGGCAAACCACCAGAAGCAAGGAAGAGGCAAGGAAGGAUUGCCAUACAGGCUUCAGAAGGAACAUGGCUCUGCUGACAUCUUGAUUUUGGACUUUUAGUCUCCA